ACUAAUUUAGGGCUUUCAGACAGCCAGGUAAGCAGCCAGGGAGGCAGGAGCCGAACAGAGCGAACAGCCAGCCAUACAUAUGGAUCAGGUCGGCAGCUGAGCAUUAAUGGCCUCCCCCUGGAAUCUAAAACACAGGCGCAGGCCAGAGAGGAGCUCCUGGGGGAAAUCAGAAUACCAGCAGCCAUUCAGGAGGUCACUGACUCACGACGCAGUGACUCACGGCUCCAUCAUGAGUCCUGAAGCCAACGGUCACAUGGGGAUCCGCACAACAUCCCGGCUGUAAUUCAUCCAACAAAUUCAUGCGCACGGAUCAGACUUCAGGAACUUUCACCCGUUUACCAGCCUAGCCAGAGCGAGCGUGAUGGCGACUCGCUCGGGAUAUAUUGCUCUCGCCUUUCAGAAAGCGUCUGCAUCCGCAGCCGUUAAGGAAAUGAAUGUGUCAGUCACGGCCCUAUCUGCCUUCCUCAUGAGGAGGAGGAGGAGGCCUGGCGGGAUAACCGUACCUGCGUACGGCGGAGGAAUAGCGAAUGCGGCUGCAGAUAAAGGUGACGUCUUGAGGCCAUUACUUAUCCAGCACAGCAGCAAAGGUUUGCAGAUAUUAUACCUGCUGUCUCCACAUAAUAGCUCUCGGUUGGAAGCAAACACACACACAGACACAGACACGCAUGAGGAAAUGUAACGAGCACAAACAACCAAGGCCCACACGCAAAUUUACACACGUCUCGGCCGCUAAAUCUGCGAAAACACACACACACACACGCAUGGACACACUGGGAUGCCUCGCCUCGCUGAGUUAAAACAGAUGAAAGAGCUGCUAAAUGAAAUCUGACUCAACAGUUUAAAAUGCAGCACUGCAGCUCUGCGAGGAUCAGUACAGCAAAACGACGGCAUUCCUCAAAGCUGCCACAGUAGCUACCGUCCAGAUGCAACUUAGGUUUGUUAUUAUGCUUCCUUGAACAGGUUAGGAAAGGCCUGUGGCCUAUUCAAAACAUGCUUGUUACACUUCUACACAAAAUCAUUCUUAGAUAAUGAGAUUUUAGUUUGGUCAGUUUUGUCCCCAUCUCAUCAUUUACAUUCACACUUGAAAAGAGAUACGCAAUUAUACAACUGUACAGCUUUGAAAAGCAUGAGUGGCGCCUCCUCCACAAAAAACAAGAAUGCAGCUACUGGUUUCUGGAUGGUAGCUAAUCAAUAGAAGAACAGAACAGUUGUCUUUUCCAGGGGCUAUUAUACAACAAACCAGCUGACCAAAUGCACUGGAACUCAACUUGGGUUGCUUUGUAGCUACGCAGUAGUUACCUAUCAUGCGUUCGAUUCACUUUGCUGUUUUAUUGGCUUUAUCUGUAUAUUAAAUAUGUUUCUUUUUUUUUCUUUUUCUCUCCUGUUCAUUAAUUUAUUUUUAAAUUUAAAGUGAAUCGAACCUAGCACCCAGCAAGGUGGAGUUCUGCUGGAGUUGCUAGGAAACGGGUGGAGUUCUGCUGGAGUUGCUAGGAAACGGGUGGAGUUCUGCUGGGGUUGCUAGGAAACGGUGCACCGCCCAUGAAAUGUGACUCAACAAUUGGGAGGCUUUUUAACCGACUCCCUUUUCCAGACAUUAACUUAUUGCCAAAAGCAACUUGGGUGGCGCUACAGUCCAGACUAAAAUAGAAGUACAAAAAAAGAGUAAAACGUGAAUCAACUUUGGUGCAACUUCCUUCUUCGCAAAAUGGAUACAGAAAUGGAGUGGCGUCAGAUUUUAGCAGUUAGAGAUUUUUCUUUUGUCUUUGGUAAAGACCACACGCCAUUUUUCUGCUAACGCUAGGCUAACGUGUUUGUUCUGGUUGUAUUUACCUAGAAAGCCCUGCGCUGUAGUCCACUUCCUGCUUUCGUAGACGUCUCCGGUCUGCUUGAUGUUCACAUACACAUUUAAUCCACACCAGAUUCACUUCAAUCAGAACUGAGGUUUUUAGAAGGACCAGAGUUUGAUUAGCAUUCACAUCUUGUCAA